GUUGACCUCGGAUCAGGUAGGAAUACCCGCUGAACUUAAGCAUAUCAAUAAGCGGAGGAAAAGAAACCAACAGGGAUUGCCCUAGUAACGGCGAGUGAAGCGGCAACAGCUCAAAUUUGAAAUCUGGCCUCGGCCCGAGUUGUAAUUUGCAGAGGAUGCUUCUGGCGCGGUGCCUUCCGAGUUCCCUGGAACGGGACGCCACAGAGGGUGAGAGCCCCGUAUGGUCGGACACCAAGCCUGUGUGAAGCUCCUUCGACGAGUCGAGUAGUUUGGGAAUGCUGCUCAAAAUGGGAGGUAAAUCUCUUCUAAAGCUAAAUACUGGCCAGAGACCGAUAGCGCACAAGUAGAGUGAUCGAAAGAUGAAAAGCACCUUGAAAAGGGGGUUAAACAGUACGUGAAAUUGUUGAAAGGGAAGCGCUUGUGACCAGACUUGCGCCGGGCGGCUCAUCAGGGGUUCUCCCCUGUGUACUCCGCCCGGUUCAGGCCAGCAUCGGUUCUCGCCGGGGGAUAAGAACGGUGGGAACGUGGCCCUCCCUCGGGGGGGUGUUAUAGCCCGCCGUACGAUAUCCUGGCGGGGACCGAGGUUCGCGCUCCGCAAGGAUGCUGGCGUAAUGGUCAUCAGCGACCCGUCUUGAAACACGGACCAAGGAGUCGUCCAUUAGAGCGAGCGUUUGGGUGUAAAACCCGCACGCGUAAUGAAAGUGAAAUUAGGUGAGAGCUUCGGCGCAUCAUCGACCGAUCCUGAUGUUCUCGGAUGGAUUUGAGUAAGAGUUUUAACGGACGGACCCGAAAGACAGUGAACUAUGCUUGUAUAGGGUGAAGCCAGAGGAAACUCUGGUGGAGGCUCGCAGCGGUUCUGACGUGCAAAUCGAUCGUCAAAUAUGAGCAUGGGGGCGAAAGACUAAUCGAAC
rnacentral:rRNA from 1 species